rnacentral:rRNA from 1 species
GUCUUAUUGAUAAUUAUUUUAAGUCUAAUCYGCCCCCYGAGUAGUUGAAUGGCCGCGGUAUUUUGACCGUGCAAAGGUAGCAUAAUCAUUAGUUUUUUAAUUGAAAGCUGGAAUGAAAGAUUGAAUGAGAAAAUAGCUGUCUCUUUUAUAAUAAUUGAAAUUUAUUUUUAAGUAAAAAAGCUUAAAUAUAAUUUAAAGACGAGAAGACCCUAUAGAGUUUUAUUUUAUUUUUUAUAAAUAUAUUUUAGUAAUAAAUAUAAAUUUAUAAAAAAAAAAUUUAAUUGGGGUGAUUAAAAAAUUUAUUUAACUUUUUUUAUUUUAAUUCAAUUAUUUUUGUUUAUAUGAUCCAUUAUUAAUGAUUAAAAGAUUAAAUUACCUUAGGGAUAACAGCGUAAUUUUUUUUGAAAGUUCAUAUUGAAAAAAAAGUUUGCGACCUCGAUGUUGGAUUAAAAUUAAUUUUUGGUGCAGAAGCUARAAAUUUUAGUCUGUUCGACUAUUAAAAUUUUACA